rnacentral:rRNA from 1 species
CAGCAGCCACGGUAAUACGUAGGGUGCGAGCGUUAAUCGGAAUUACUGGGCGUAAAGCGGGCGCAGACGGUUACUUAAGCAGGAUGUGAAAUCCCCGGGCUCAACCUGGGAACUGCGUUCUGAACUGGGUAACUAGAGUGUGUCAGAGGGAGGUAGAAUUCCACGUGUAGCAGUGAAAUGCGUAGAGAUGUGGAGGAACACCGAUGGCGAAGGCAGCCCCCUGGGCCAAUACUGACGCUCAUGCACGAAAGCGUGGGGAGCAAACAGGAUUAGAUACCCCCGUAGUCCCUGUCUCUUAUAC